GACGAACGCUGGCGGCGUGCUUAACACAUGCAAGUCGAACGAAGUGGCGAACGGGGGAGUAAUACGUGGUUACCCUGCCCUCAUUUUUGGGUUAAGCCUUGGAAACGGGGGCUAAUACCGAAUAAAGGGGGAUGGGCUCGCGGCCUAUCGGCUUGUUGGUGGCGUGAUGGCCUACCAAGGCGGUGCCGGGUAGCCGGCCUGAGAGGGUGACCGGGGACAGUGGGACUGAGAUACGGCCCAGGCGAGUACGGGAGGGAGCAGUGGGGGAUAUUGCACAAUGGGCGAAAGACUGAUGCAGCGACGCCGCGUGGGGGAUGAAGGCUUUCGGGUUGUAAAGCUAUUUCGGAAUAGAACGGGUAGGUGGAGAAGAAGCGACGGCUAACUACGUGCCAGCAGCCGCGGUAAUUC
rnacentral:rRNA from 1 species